CAAAAGUUAGGACGGCAUUAUUGCACACUGUCUUCAUCUUAGUGUAGCCAGGUCAGUAGAGGGCGCUGCUGAGGGUAUCAGUAUAGGGUGUAAGUUCCCUUUAAAUAUGUCACUUCCUGUUGGUUGGAAUGGCUGCAGUGUUUGAAUUGUUUGGCAUGGUCGGUCGCUGGAAGAACAAGCUCUGAGAAGUUUUCUUAAAGGCCCUCAUAUUGGCUGCUGAACGAGAUGAGCAGUGGAUAUUAACGACGGUUGUACUUCCUGUGGCGUCUGAAAUAAGAGAACAGAGUCAUGCACAUGGAAACCCAGCCUGCAACAAUACAUCAGAAUGUGCAAAAAAGGGAAGAUAAAGAAAUGGGGUAAGAAGGCAGCAUCAGGAUUACUUCAAGUGUACCGUACACACAGCUUCAAUGGAGGGAUUGAGAGCUCUUGGACUAAAUCUAAAAUAUCUUAAACUGUGUUCCAAAGAUAAAUGGAGGUCUUACUGGUUUGGAACGACAUGAGGGUGAGUUAUUAAUGACAUAAUUUUGAUUUUUGGGUGAACUAACCCUUUAAAGCAUAGUGCUGAAUUCAAUUUAGAUUUACGAACUUUAUAUGGAGCAACUAAUUAUCUAAAAUCUCACUUUCUGACUAAUAAAUUUGACCUGAAGUUAUAAAAGAGGCAGAGCUAAAUAAUCAAAAUACAAGAUAGACCUGCUUUUGAAUAUGAUCAUAUUUUGCUCAGAUCUGAAAUUCUCAGUUUAGCUCAGGAGACAUAACACUGUAAAUUGAUCAGUGAAAGACACUGGUGUAAGAGAGCAUGGAAAUUUAAGCAGGAAUAAAUCUGAUACACUACAUCAAUGCACUCAUGAACCGCAGAUCGGAUCAGUGACGAUGUUGACAAGGGUUUAAUCUUUGCUCAACACAUUUUUCUAGACUAAAGGAUUUGAAGGUUGCCACAUUAUUGCUUUACAUGGAACCUUAUUCUGUUAAUAUUGUUUGGAAACAAUUAUUUGAUUAAGUUUGUAUACUUCAAUCUAGUCACCUUCUGAAUAACUCCUGUGUUACUCUGGCCUGACUGUCACUGCCAAAAAGAGUCUGACCCUUCUGUGACCUCCUCUGCAACUAAUACCAAGCUGUUGGGUCUGGGAACUCUGGAUGAAUUGAUUUAAAGCAAUGACAGAUUCAGGACGGGUGCAAAGGUGUAGAGAUGAAUGCCUCGUACAUCUCUUCUCACCUAACCCCAAUGAGUGUGUGUGCGCCUGAGCCCAAAGGAAUUGUGGUACAUACCAUUUCAUACAUAGGACAAUGUGCCAUUAAGUCACCUUCAACUUUAAACCUCAAAAAAGCAUACAAUAAAACAAGCUGAUAGUACUACACUGUACAUUGCAACUGUAUUUAAACUCAAAUCAAAGUAUCUGAUAGACAGUGUUGGGAAAAGUUACUUUUAAAAAUUACGCUUUACAAUAUUGCAUAACUCUCUAAAAAAGUAACUAAUGGUGUUAGUACAGGUAUGUGUUACUUUACUGGUCUGGGCUUACAUGUUUGUAUUUGAUAAAAGAAAGUUCUAUUUUUGGCAAAUGUAAAAGCCAUUUGACACAAGAAGUUAAAUGAAUAAUCCUCAGACUGAAGGAAAUGUAGAUUCACAUCUGUACAGUAGAGGAUGCAGCUCAAACAAACCUUUCAGCUGUGAGACAAUUCUGGAUUGAAUUAUAGUGAACAGGAGAUGAAAAUGAACAGUCU